CACUAUCCUGUGGUGUUCCCACUACAGUACAGGCCCAUGCCUAGCAACGCAGCACUGCAUAGGUUAACUAUCCCCUAACUUUUAGUGAUGUCAGCAGGAGCUGACAUGGGGGGCACUAGGACCCAGGGGAGUCAAGUCUAGAACCAGAGGAGCCCAACUGUCACAGCCAGAGAGCUGGGAGAAAAGUACCCUGCGAUUGGCUGACCCCAUGACCUUUACAGAGCGGGAAGCUGAGGAGGCAGGGUUACUGCUCUGAGGAGAGUGUGUGAGGCUGCAGUGUGGAGAGUUGUCGUCCAGAGAGCCCUAAAAGGGGUGACCAGCGGCGAAAGGAGAGCGGUCGCAAGUGGAGCCGUCUGCGCCCGACAACUGAGUGAGACGCUAGGGAAGGAAGCGUCACAGCUGCUGAGAGAGAAGUGCUGACAGGAAUCAUAUCAGCGUGCGAGCCGCAAGUGAAGCAGCAUGGAGUCUCUGUCAUCACAGCUGGGAAGCACUGAAGAGGCUGCCUGACAGUGAGAGGAUGGAGUGCAGCUGCGGGGAACAUAUUAAAAUCACCAAACAGGUGACCGUGACUGCCCUGCGGAUAACCAAAAAGACUUUCACACUUACUGAGAGAACAGAGGCACAAUAACAGCCGUUAACUCCUCUGAGAAUUGGUG